rnacentral:rRNA from 1 species
GCGGCUAAUGACGGUACCUGAAGAAUAAGCACCGGCUAACUACGUGCCAGCAGCCGCGGUAAUACGUAGGGUGCAAGCGUUAAUCGGAAUUACUGGGCGUAAAGCGUGCGCAGGCGGUUUGUAAGUCUGACGUGAAAUCCCCGGGCUCAACCUGGGAAUGCGUGGAGACUGCAAGGCUGGAGUCUGGCAGAGGGGGGUAGAAUUCCACGUGUAGCAGUGAAAUGCGUAGAGAUGUGGAGGAACACCGAUGGCGAAGGCAGCCCCCUGGGUCAAGACUGACGCUCAUGCACGAAAGCGUGGGGAGCAAACAGGAUUAGAUACCCUGGUAGUCCACGCCCUAAACGAUGUCUACUAGUUGUCGGGUUUUAAUUAACUUGGUAACGCAGCUAACGCGUGAAGUAGACCGCCUGGGGAGUACGGUCGCAAGAUUAAAACUCAAAGGAAUUGACGGGGACCCGCACAAGCGGUGGAUGAUGUGGAUUAAUUCGAUGCAACGCGAAAAACCUUACCUACCCUUGACAUGGAAGGAAUCCUGGAGAGAUYUGGGAGUGCCCGAAAGGGAACCUUCACACAAGGUGCUGCAAUGGCUGUCGUCAAGCUCGUGUCGGAGA